GUGGAGGACGAAAGGCGUGGAAGGGGGAGGGACCAUCGUGCGAAAAUGCCCCUUCGAGUUUGGUUCUUCACUUUUUAAAGAUUUGAAGUGAUUGUCUCCCGUCCACCUAACUGGAGCCUUUCUAGUCCCCUCUUUUAGAGGGUGAAGACUUCACCUUUUAGCCUCUGGUCUUAGAUCCGAGGCAGUGGCGCUGGAAGAUAACAGGAAAGCGGUAAAAGUUUCACGAUUAAUCACUAGAGAAGACCCUCACGAGAAUACCACCGAACACCUCCCUCAAAGACACAGCCCCUUGAAAUGUAUCUUUCUCAGAAAAAUACUCAAAACUGUCCAAAGGUAAACACGUAUCACCCCACCCCUAUACACACAAAUGCGCGCGCCGCUCGUCAAACUCAGAGUGAAAAGGAGUUGCUGGAAAAACAGCAGCAAGAACCCCAAUUUGUAAAAAUGCAAAUUGAUGAAUGUGAAAUCAUAGUAAAAAACGAGGCAGCGCCAUACGCGGGGGAGGGGCCGCUGGAUCUUGCAGCGUUGGGCAGUCCCUCCUCCCCUGACAGUACAGCAAUUCUUUCCACCUCUGCCCAGAAAGCUCCAGGAUCGCACACUCACUCCCAGGUCUCUGCUGAACCCGCCUGUGCUGACCACCGCGGUGCGAGCUGUACCUUCGUGGUGCAGCUCCAGCGGGCAGGCCUGCAAGAGGAGCUAUGAGCUUGGAAAAGGGAGAGCUGUGCCCAUGGAUGCUGCUGAGCCUGAGCCGGCACAUUGCUUGAAAUUCAUAACUACACACAUAUGGAUCACAGUGUUUAGAAGAAAAUUCUACUCUUCUAAAAUACUGAAUGCAAAAUUAAAGUCUGACACUGCAAGCAGAACUGGAAGAAAUGAAAUGGAAUAUUAAGUAUGGCCUUUUAAAGUAUUGUUAACAGCUAAUGUGUGCAUUUUGCCUGAAGAAUAAAAUAAUGUCAUUGAUGUAUCUUGAAUUCUGAUUUAUUUUGGUAAGUUACUUUGAAAU